rnacentral:tRNA from 1 species
GCUGCGGGUGGCGAGCACGGUCGCGCCGACCGGUGCGCGGCCGGUGAAGCCACCGGCGAUGCCCGCGCUGAUCACCGCGGCGUAGCGGCCC